rnacentral:rRNA from 2 species
GAGUUUGAUCUUGGCUCAGGACGAACGCUGGCGGCGUGCCUAACACAUGCAAGUCGAACGGAGCCGUCCCUGGUGGCAACACCUUGGGCGGUUCAGUGGCGAACGGGUGAGUAACACGUGAGGAACCUGCCCCGAAGACCGGGAUAACAGAAGGAAACUCCUGCUAAUACCGGAUACCCCCACCGGACCGCAUGAUCUGGUGAGGAAAUGGAUUCCGCUUCGGGAGGGCCUCGCGGCCUAUCAGCUAGUUGGUGGGGUAACGGCCUACCAAGGCAUCGACGGGUAGCUGGUCUGAGAGGACGAUCAGCCACACUGGGACUGAGACACGGCCCAGACUCCUACGGGAGGCAGCAGUGGGGAAUCUUGCGCAAUGGGCGAAAGCCUGACGCAGCAACGCCGCGUGCGGGAUGAAGGCCCUCGGGUUGUAAACCGCUUUCAGCAGGGACGAAGCUGACGGUACCUGCAGAAGAAGCCCCCGGCCAACUACGUGCCAGCCGCCGCGGUAA